AUUCCUGGCUCAGGACGAACGCUGGCGGCGUGCCUAAUACAUGCAAGUCGAGCGAAUGGAUUAAGAGCUUGCUCUUAUGAAGUUAGCGGCGGACGGGUGAGUAACACGUGGGUAACCUGCCCAUAAGACUGGGAUAACUCCGGGAAACCGGGGCUAAUACCGGAUAACAUUUUGAACCGCAUGGUUCGAAAUUGAAAGGCGGCUUUGGCUGUCACUUAUGGAUGGACCCGCGUCGCAUUAGYUAGUUGGUGAGGUAACGGCUCACCAAGGCAACGAUGCGUAGCCGACCUGAGAGGGUGAUCGGCCACACUGGGACUGAGACACGGCCCAGACUCCUACGGGAGGCAGCAGUAGGGAAUCUUCCGCAAUGGACGAAAGUCUGACGGAGCAACGCCGCGUGAGUGAUGAAGGCUUUCGGGUCCUUUUACUGUGUUGUUAGGGAAGAACAAGUGCUAGUGAAUCCCUCCCCUCCUUACGGUACCUAACCAGAAAGCCAC
rnacentral:rRNA from 1 species